AGACAAUUACGCGCGGAUUACGCGGCGGCGAAGCACUGCUUUGUGUUGUUAUUCUUUCGUGGGGUUUUUUCCCUUUACAACGCAGCAAGAGCAUCGUCCGACCCGCUUGUCGCCGUGCGCGAGGAGGAGGAGGAGGAGCGGGAGGAGAGCCAGCUGAGCUCCGGGAAGAGGGAACAUGUGGCACCUGCUAGGUACCACGCUCAAGGGAUGUCCACGCUUGGAUGAAUCCAGGAGGAGGUUGGCUGUGCAGUGGGAGCGUAUGAACAGAGAGGGUGUCCAAGCCUCCUCCUGCAGCACAGCAAGCAGUUCACAGGCUUCGACGAGAGCUCUGGAAUGUCACAGAGAUUAGGAGCUUUUGCCUCCCGCACCCGACGGAUCGGCUCUGACUGCCCCCCCAUCCUGUGCCCGCGCCUCCUUCCUCCCAAGCAGGGAUUCCCACCAAGUGUACCAGCCACUUUAAGAACAUGCGAGAGUGCAAGAUGAGCACCGAGGAGGGAAGGGUGACAUCACGGGACAGAAAGAGGACGCAAGGUGAUCAUCGACGGCUGCGAAGUGACGGACGAGGCAGAGUUCUCGUCACCUGCACUCAGCACAAUGACGCCCAGGAACACACGUCACUUCUGCCCGACUGACCACUUUUUCUUUAUCGGUGUCAGUGUCACUUUUGUUUGUGUCGUGCUGGAGCGGAUGUCAAAGCUCAGUGUCCUACAGUCUCCCGUGCAGAGCUGUUGUGCUUGAUGGUGAGAAGAAUGGAGUGUGGCUGAAAGACGAAAGAGUCUCUCAAAUGCCCCCUUCUUCUACCAAAUGAUGUGGCAGAGGGUUUUUUUUGUCAUGCAAACACUUGGAUCCAGUCAUGAAGCUGUGGUUCGUCCACCACUUCUGUCCCGACUAAAAUAUCCCAACAUCUGCUCUACAGAUUGGCACACACAGUAUUAAUCAUAAUACUUUUGGUGAUACCAUAACCUGUUCUUUACAGGCACAUUAGUUUAAAUCUCGACAAUAAGAAGGACUGCUAGAUUUCUCCAAAAGUUGGUGCAGAUAUAUACGGUCGGAAGAGGAAGAUUUUUUUUUCUUCAAUAACACAUUGUUUGUGUGUAACAUUGACAGAUUUAGGAGCUGAUCUUCUCUGGUAUGACUUUCAUGAUGGGGGGGUUCCCCUCCAGGGCCAAUGGGGCUGAGACGGAGGCUGUGUGCUCACUAGUGCAGAUGAUUGAGAUGGAUGAAAGGAAGCUUCCUGCCACAAUAUCAGUCACGCAAAUCACAUCCCAAACUACAUCAAUCUCAUUCUCCAGAAAUGGGUUUCUCUGUGCCGGACACGUCGGGGGGCCCGAGCUGUGAGUGAAGGCCGGCCAGAAACCACCAUUAAGAUCCCCUUCAAAGGCAAACCGCCGCCUGAGGUCACACGGCACGAGGAUGGUCGCGGAGGUCAUGGAGGACGAGAGGACCCCGGCGGUGUGUACAGCUGAGAGCACCUCGCUGGUUCCCAGCACCAGCGAGGUGCCAGGAACACAUAUUUAGGGAUUCAGAAGUAAAAGCUGUCUCCUUUAAUGCAGGUUUUAAAUACUACAGAACAACAUAAGCCUCCUGAGAGUAAGAUAGAGUUCAUCGAGCUAUAUGCAAAGUGUAUUAAUUAAAAAAGGAUUUUUUAAUCAUUUAAAUGUCAUUUUAC
ensembl:lncRNA